UACGUAGGGUGCGAGCGUUAAUCGGAAUUACUGGGCGUAAAGCGUGCGCAGGCGGUUCGUUAUGUCCGAUGUGAAAGCCCCGAGCUUAACCUGGGAACUGCAUUGGUGACUGGCGGGCUAGAGUAUGGCAGAGGGGGGUAGAAUUCCACGUGUAGCAGUGAAAUGCGUAGAGAUGUGGAGGAAUACCGAUGGCGAAGGCAGCCCCCUGGGCCAAUACUGACGCUCAUGCACGAAAGCGUGGGGAGCAAACAGG
rnacentral:rRNA from 1 species